GUGAAUCAUCGAAUUUUUGAACGCAUAUUGCACCAUCUGGUAUUCCGGAGAGUAUGCCUAUUUGAGGGUCAUUUGAAAUAAUAUAAAUUUCGAGAUUUUCUUGAAAUCAAAAAUGGGUCGUUCCAGCUUUCGUGUGGGGGUCGCCUAAAAUGCAAGACAAGCUCAUUUCUUGGGUUGCUGAAUACUUUAAGUUACUUCGUACUUUCACAAGAAUUCUUCGACCG
rnacentral:misc_RNA from 1 species